AAGAUGCAGUAGUUUUUGUAGUAGUAAGAAUCAGUAGCAUUCAAUUUUUUUCUAGGAUAAGAAAAGGAGUGUAAUUUACAGAGGAAAGGAAUCAAAGAUGAAAUUAUGAUGUUUGUGUAUCAAAGUAUAGUAGAAUUAAUGGUGAGAUUUAAUUUUCAUCAACUGUAAGGUUUUUGGAUGUAUUCAUCUCAUUUUCGUCCUCUUUAUGUUGAUCUAGUUCAAUCCUGUGAUGUAAAUUUUGAUGUAUUGUUGCGAGAUUAAUGUUCGAGUUUAAUAAAAAUUUGAGAAAAUUGUGUUUGAUCGUCUUGCUUAUUGUAGAUUUGAAUAGGCGUGGAUUUGUAUGGAUCUGGGAACGGAUCCUUCUUGUUAACGAAAUGCAUUUUGAAUCUUAUCUCUUGUUGCUACAGAUUAGGAAUGAUGUUAUAGUAACUUCUACUAGGGUUCUAAAUCAUAGGUGUAAACACUAAUUUAUAUUGUAUAGGAGACGAGAGUAGGUAGAUACAGAAAACGUUUGGGGAGAGAUUACUACAGAGAAGUAUAAAAUUGUUGAUGUGGUCUUAUCUCAUUUCAUUUGUGAUAAAAUUGCUUUGAGGGAUUUGGGAGGAACCCUCUUAUAGUAUAUUCCGAGCUCGAGCUCAAGCUCGAGCUCCUUCACCUCUACUCAUCCCCUCCUUCCUCAUCCUCCGCAUCCUCUCCAAGCUCCGAUUCUCGACCCGGCGAUCCCCAUAUCUCCCUUGCUAUCACCCAUGACCUACUCGACCCCGCGAGGACGAUCCUCGACGAUCCGAUCCGAGCCCUCAGCAGUGCCGCUUCUCGAUUCCUCUUCUCAAUUCGAUGCUCCGAUCCAUUGGUUGUUGUUGAGAAAUUUUCAAGGACUAAUCUUCCAGAGACGGAGAAGAGAAAGUUAUAUGGAGAAAGAUGAAAUACGUAGGUUGACUCAUUCGAGGCGUUAAAAGAAAUUUGCUCCAUAGCUGAACAAAAGCAGAACAGCUGGAGCUGCAGAAAUUGAAGUAGGAAGCAAGAGUUUCAACAUGCGGUGUUUGUUAUUUUUUGGCUAUAUUUUGAACAAAUAUUUUUUGUUAGAACUUAUGUUCGAAAUUUAAUUUGAAUACUGAGAUUGUAAUUUGAGAGUUGAGACCAUUUAUUAUA